AGAGAAAAAGGAGAAGAGAGAGAGAGAGAGAGAGAGAGAGAGAGAGAGAGAGAGAGAGAGAGAGAGAGAGAGAGAGAGAGAGAAACUGAAUCUGGCUCCACCAAUGGGAUCUGUGACUGCACAGCGUCAGCCUGAUUCUUGCCGGGUCUCAGAACUUUUCAUCAAAGAAUGGCUCAGUUUCCCUCCAGGCCCUCAACACUGUGUCUACAUACCAUCUCUCAGAAGAUGUUUGCUUCCUCCUUUAGUGACCCAAUGUUCUAGCCUAUGAAGAUCCUUUGAAAUCCUGAUUCAUCCAGUGUGUCAGCUAUUCCUUCCAAAUUGGCAUCAUCUGCAAAUAUUAUCAUCAUAUAAUAUAUAAAAUAUUAUAUAUCAUAUAAUAGUAUGAAAUGUAUAUCAUGCAUAGCAUGUCAUCCAUGUUUGCAUUCAAAUUGUUGAUAAAAAUGUUAAAUGGUACAGGGCCAAAAAGAUCCCUGGGAUACUCCAAUGGAGACCUUCUUCCAAUAUGAACAUUGCAUCAUUCAUAUCUACUCGUUGAGACAAUUCAAUCAGUUCCUAAUCCAUCUAAUUGUACUAUCAGAGAGCCUACCUUCCUCUAUCCCCAACCCCAACACAGCAUCAAUUAUUCAACUGAAAAUUUUACAAAGCUCCUAAUUAUAUACCCACACCUUUUUUCUUAGCUUCUAGUUUUUAUACCUUGACCCAAACAGAAAUAAAGUUAAACAUUUAAUACUAUUCAUGAAUCACCCAUUCAUGACUAAUGCAUUAGGUUCUGGGAUAUAGAAGAAUGAAAUAAUAUCUGACCUUAGGACGUUUACACUAUCUUUGGAGGACACACUAUGUAUACAGUUAAGUCCCAGAUUGAUAUUUUGUGAUCCAGAGAAUGCUAACAGCUGGGUUCAGCAGAAAGGAUUCUUAUAGAGGAGAGCACCUAAGCUGAGUCUUGAAAGAAACCAGUGAUUCUUCUAAGUGAAGCUGAGGGGAGUAGUUCCUUUACUUGGGCAAAGGGAUGGAGAUAAAGGGGUAUAAUUGUAUUGGGAGACAGCUAAGUAGAUCUGUUUGCCUGGAAAGUAGAAGAAUGAAAAGGGAGUAAGAUGAAAUAUGUCUGCAAAGGUAGGUAGGAUCCAGGUAGUGGAGAGAUUUAACGUUUAUGAGGAAGACACUGUAUUUUAUUCUAGAACAAAAGAUCUUAGCUUGUUUUUGCAUCAUAAAUCCCAUCUCAUGUUUAAAAUAAAAGGCACAAGGUAAAAGAACCUCAUUAUACCAAAAUAAAAAUAUCAUUUUCCUCUCCAAAAUCCAUUAUAUCCCAUAUAAAAUUAUGGGCUCUUGUAGUCUGUGAAUCCAUGAAGAUCCCCUAUCCUAGAGACUAUGUUGACAAGAUUUUUGAGCAAAAUGUCAUGUUCAGACUUGUAUCUUAGUAGUAUUAAUUUGGCAGCUAGCUCUGUGGAGGAUGGCUUAGAGUGGUGAAGAAUUGGAAGUGAUGUGACCAAUUAGGAGGCUAUCACAACAAUCCAGGCAAGAAGUAAUGAAGGCCUUUGUUAAGGUGGUGACUGUGUAGAGAGGUGGUGACAGAGACAAGAUGUCAAUGGUAAGAUAGCCAAGAUUCUGCAACUGAUUAGAUAUGGCAGAUGAGGGGGAAAGGGAUAAUAAUAACAGC